AAACCAAUCUGAUGGACAGAUCAUCCUGAGGAGCAAUGAAGAAGGGGCAAGAGAAUCCUGGCAGUUCUGGAAGCUGAGCAGAACUCUGAAGCAACUGCCAAGGGACUUCCAGCCUGGGAAAGAGAGGAGAAGCAGGGUUGAGCAGGAAAGUGCUCAACCAUAUUUCUCUGCCUGUUGGGGACCUGUCUCUAUCCAGAGAUCCUCAAUAACUCUGCUGGGAUUGGUCAACAGCUUCUCAGGAGGGAUACAUAUGUAGUUCAUCUCAUUUUAGGGAAAAAUUCAACUAAAUACUCCAAUAAACCAAUAUGGCUGAGUUCUUUCUCUGGAUGUGGAUAAUAUUCCUUCUCAUAAAUUCCUUCUGGAUUGUUCUGGGUCAUUGCAUUGCUGCUAGUAGAGAAGUCUAUCACAUUUGAUUAUACCAUAGUCUCUGUGUACAAUGUUCUCCUGGUUCUGCUCCUUUCACUCUGCAUCACUUCCUGACGGUCCUUCCACUUCACAUGGAAUUCCUCCAGUUCAUCAUUCCUUUCAGCACAAUAGUAUUCCAAGUAUUCCAUCACCAAAAUAUGCCACAAUUUGUUCAGCCAUUCAAUUAGGGUUGUUCUUGUACUUUAGAGACAGAUGAUGGGAAUGCCAUGCCAUGGUGAACUUAGAGCAAGGAUGAGAGUCACAAUUGCCUGUCAACUUGACACAAAGGGGAAAAAAGAAUUGAGGACAUUAUUGACCUAAAAAUAUGUAAGGACUUUUUUUGCCUUCAUUUGUCAGACAGAGUAUGAAAGGAAGUAAUGAGUAAGAAGACUGGAAAGACAUGAAGAAUACCUUUAAAUGCCAUUCUUUUAAUAUAGUGAGUACGGACACAAUUAUAAUUAGUAAUAGUAGGAAUAAGAGAAAGACACAGUCAUGUUGAAUCACUGUAAAUAGAGGCUAGUGAAGCCUGGGAAGUGGUCUGGUUCACUCCAAGUUGUUGUGUUUUACAUUAGCACAUGGAACAAAUUCACAAUUUUUGUUAAAUCAUGGAUUUUAAAAAUAUUUGUAGAAACUUUAAUUUAGGUUUCUCUUGUUUUUAAUGAUAUCACAUAGAGCAAUUUGAGGUUAUUGAGGAUACAUAGUGGAUGCUACUUUAAUCCAUAUGCCAUGAUAAUUGUAAUGAAAUGUAGAAGAUAAAUACAAACCAAGCUCAGAUGGGUUUAUAUUUAUACUUGCUCUCAGAAUGGAAACUGUUUUCUCAAAUCCCUUGUAGUUCAGGAAGUAACUUGAAAAAUACAUGAUUUGCUGGUAAUUCUAGGAAGUGAUGUGCCAACUUUGAGAACAAGGGAGUUAAAAUGCUUCUCUUAUAUAACUAUUAAGAGGAUUAUACUUUUCAAAAUGAAGGCUGAUUAUCUUGCUGUAUUUACUGGAGCAUCACUCGACAGAUGUAGCUGAUUUAACAAAUCUGAACUCUAGAAAAAAAUAACAUUAAUAUAGCACCUGGGAACUUCCCUUUUUAUAUGAACCUCCUGCCCCAAGAAAUUUUACUCCAUAUAUAAAGAUCUUUUGCAGUUCCAUUUAUACCUCCGACAAAUCAUAGCCCAUGACUGAUCUAUUUACUUUCACUUUUUAGUCAGAGGGUACCAUGAGUUCCAGCUGAAGGCUUUUUAUGGAAUAUCAUAAGCAAAGUAGAACUAGAAAAUUUCCUCACUAUCCCUGGAGCACAUUAUCCCACUAAUUCACAAAUCAUCAGUGAGAAGAUCAGACAUAUAGAAAGAUUCUAUGUGGGGGGCACCUACACCAAAAGAACAUAUGUGGCCGGGACACCCAAGUGGAAACAAUUCACAAAGAUAAACUUACUUCUGAGAUGUGUGGAAGAGUAAGCUGUGCUUGACUACAGCUUUGAAUCUAGUCAUUGUACCAUUCCUGCAGGUUACUGUACUCAGCCAGUCUUGUGGAAUAUGGAAUCUACUUGGUGAUGUUCCAAUGGUUCUGUUAGCACUGAGCAGGACUCUGGUUCUCUCAUGAUUAUGGAACUUUUUUCUGCUACUUUCUGUAUUCAGCUAAAAUCUUUAGAUGAGUUGCUACCUUCCCAGUUAUCUUUACAACAUGGUAAAGCUAUCAUCUUCAUUACCCUGCCAUCAGAAACAUGGAUUCUGCCCCUGGAAAGACAGGAUCUCAUCUGAAAUUUUUGCUUCACCUUUACUGGAGCAAGACCUCCAUACCCACUCACAUCCAUAUCCCCUUUCCAUACUCUGUUCAUUACUAUUAUCUCCCUCCUAGAGGAACCAUGAUCUUCCUCUGGGAAGCUAAGUUUGAAUAGGUGAGUUUCCAUCUCAUCUUUUCUAGAACUAGACCUUCAUGUCACUUUCUGGUCAUCUUUACAGAAUGAUGCCAAAUACACAGACCUUUCAACAUUUUCCCCUUGUAAAUUCCCUUCAUGUAUUAUUUUUACCCCCUUAUGGGAGAAAUAUUUUCCCAUUGAAUCUGUGUGAUAGGUAACUGCUGUGAAAUGAAUAUAUCAUAAUGCAAAAAUUAUAGAGGUAAAAUCUUAUGUUUAAGCAUAGGUUAAGAACUCAGAAAAAUAAUUCUGAACCCCAACUGGGGUUUAUACCAAGUUACUUAUGGUGAAAAUAUUAUGUCAGAGAAACAGAGAAUGUUUUUUAAUAAUGUAUAAACAUCUUUAUGGUCUAAACUACAAGGGUCACACAGACCCAGUUAAAUAAUAUCUCAUACUUUCUUAACUUAAAGUUAAACAAGCCAUAUUAGGACAAAUUAGGGAAUAGAUUCAGUUGUAGAUUUAAAUACUGUUUGCAAAAUCUUUUAAUUAUAAAAUUACAAGGCUACAUUUUAAAGAACCCAUAAUGAGCUAAUUGAGAGGAAAGGAUUUACAUAUCACAAAGAAAACGAAAGAUUUAGACAGAGGGAUCUUUCCAUAAAUAGAAUUAGCUAAAUCAUAUUGGGAAGUGUUGUUUUUAUGGAGACUCUAUAUUUCCUUCUUUUUCUUCUAUUUCUGAUUUCAGGAAUAUCAGCAUUUUCCCCUUAACACUAUCAUUCCAUGGCUCUAGUUUUAGCCAUUAAUUAUUUAAUUUAUUAUUGAGGAAAAAGCCAGGUUUUUCUUUCAAUAUAAUCCAUUGUCCACCAUGGGUUCUGAACCAAGAGCUACAGCUGUAAUAGCUAGAGUUCAUGUAGAAGAGAGAAGAUUCAUUUUCAAGAAAGGAGUGAAGAACAAAUAAAUCAAUUAAAAUAAUUCUAAGAUGAAUGGUGGAAGUAUUUACAUGUCAGGAUUUACAGUUUACUAAAGAGUACAGGACAAUUGAUAUUGUUCUUCUGGCUUCUUAUCUAAAGAAUUUUAAGACUAAGUAGAUUUUCACAUUCUAUGGAACAGGUUUCAUUUUCAAAAUAUCCCCAAAUUGGAAUGGAAGGAAAUAAUUGCAGGAAAUUAAAAUCCCCAUAACAUUUCUUUGUUUUAUCAUAAAUUGUAUUUUAUUGAGUUAGUUUUACCUUCAACAAACAUUUGUAGUUGACAAAUAUAAGUAUCAUUUUUUGUCCACUGUUUCAUGGUAUGAAUGGGCACUUCAAAUAGGUAGUGAUUCUUACUACCACAGGACUAAGAUCUCAAACCCUGGUCCAUUGUUAAAGAAGUUUUCUCUUCAAUGAGGUAUAUACCUAUAGAAAUUCAUGUGUUUUAUAAUUAAACUUCCAUAGGCAGAAUUAAAACAAAUCUGGGACUUUCUUCCUAUUUGCCCCUCAGACCAGGAGAAAAGCAUUUUGCUUUAUCUCUAUAACUGAGGUGGUUAGUUUAUUAGGAAAGUGGGAACCAUAAGCCCCAAUUCCAGUUUUCCAGAUCCCAGAGGAAAGUUGAGGAAGAAAAGUCUAGAGGAGACCUCUAAACUAGGCCUAGGGGGUAUAUGAGUG